rnacentral:tRNA from 1 species
GCGGGAGUAACUCAGUGGUAGAGUUCCACUUUCCCAAAGUGGCUGUCGCGGGUUCGAGUCCCGUCUCCCGCUC